CUCUCCCUCUUUCUUCCGGCCUAACACAUGCAAGUCGAACGAACCUUUCGGGGUUAGUGGCGGACGGGUGAGUAACACGUGGGAACGUGCCUUUAGGUUCGGAAUAACUCAGGGAAACUUGUGCUAAUACCGAAUGUGCCCUUCGGGGGAAAGAUUAAUCGCCUUUAGAGCGGCCCGCGUCUGAUUAGCUAGUUGGUUGAGGUAAUGGCUCACCAAGGCGACGAUCAGUAGCUGGUCUGAGAGGAUGAUCAGCCACAUUGGGACUGAGACACGGCCCAAACUCCUACGGGAGGCAGCAGUGGGGAAUCUUGCGCAAUGGGCGAAAGCCUGACGCAGCCAUGCCGCGUGAAUGAUGAAGGUCUUAGGAUUGUAAAAUUCUUUCACCGGGGACGAUAAUGACGGUACCCGGAGAAGAAGCCCCGGCUAACUUCGUG
rnacentral:rRNA from 1 species